AAUUCUCAAACCUCCUAGUCUUUAUUGACGACGAGGCUUUGGAUGUGGGAGUUGCUGGCUUUGACGAGUCAGCUCUCCUUAAAUACAUUAGUGGUUACUGUUCAUCCACUUCCUGGUGUGAUAAUUAUCUACGCCUAGUGGUGAUGUUAAGUGUAGCUGCUCUCUAACCGUCCAUUCUAUGUGGACAACUUGAACC
rnacentral:misc_RNA from 1 species